UCCCGUAUGGCGCAAUUGGCAGCGCAGGCGAUUGUUAAUCGUCAGGUUCUUGGUUCGAGUCCAAGUGCGGGAG
rnacentral:tRNA from 1 species